CAGUAGCCACGGUAAUACGAGGGGGGCAAGCGUUGUUCGGAAUUAUUGGGCGUAAAGGGUGCGUAGGCGGUUCAGCAAGUCUCGUGUGAAAUCUUCGGGCUCAACCCUAAGUCUGCACGGGAAACUACUGGGCUUGAGUAAUGGAGAGGUGAGUGGAAUUUCCGGUGUAGCGGUGAAAUGCGUAGAUAUCGGAAGGAACACCUGUGGCGAAAGCGGCUCACUGGACAUUUACUGACGCUGAUGCACGAAAGCUAGGGGAGCAAACAGGAUUAGAUACCCCCGUAGUCCCUGUCUCUUAUAA
rnacentral:rRNA from 1 species